CUCGGAUCAGCUUCAGUAUCUCUCGGCAGGGCAGAGGUUCCUGGAGGAAUCUAUGACCUCCAGUGGGUACAGUCAGUCCCCAACAGUCAUGUGGAGAAUCCAGGGCAGAGAAUCCACGGCAGAGAAUGGUCCUGCAACCCCGUAGCAUGGCGAUUCUGCCAGGAGGGCUGUGGCACACCUGGUUUUGGAAUAACAAGAACACUGGGAUGGAAGAUCAGGAUCUGGUCAAGAGUGAAAAGAAAACUAACUUAACUUCAAAUGUUUGACUGGCCCUGGAGAACUUCGGUGUGUACCAAGCUGUGUGGCUGAGAAAUCAACUAAGAACAGGAGGAGCAUGAGAAGUACGUUUUGAAUUGAAUGGAAAUUCCUUUGGAGACAGAAGCUGAUCUAGA
rnacentral:lncRNA from 1 species